UCGGGAAUUUUGGGCAAUGGGCGAAAGCCUGACCCAGCAACGCCGCGUGAAGGAUGAAGUAUUUCGGUAUGUAAACUUCGAAAGAAUAGGAAGAAUAAAUGACGGUACUAUUUAUAAGGUCCGGCUAACUACGUGCCAGCAGCCGCGGUAAUACGUAGGGACCAAGCGUUGUUCGGAUUUACUGGGCGUAAAGGGCGCGUAGGCGGCAAUUCAAGUCAUCUGUGAAAUCUCCGGGCUUAACUCGGAACGGUCAGAUGAUACUGCUUUGCUAGAGUGCAGAAGGGGCAAUCGGAAUUCUUGGUGUAGCGGUGAAAUGCGUAGACAUCAAGAGGAACACCUGAGGUGAAGACGGGUUGCUGGGCUGACACUGACGCUGAGGCGCGAAAGCCAGGGGAGCAAACGGGAUUAGAUACCCCCGUAGUCCCUGAGCGGGCUGGCAAGGCGCAU
rnacentral:rRNA from 1 species